rnacentral:rRNA from 1 species
UACGUAGGGUGCAAGCGUUAAUCGGAAUUACUGGGCGUAAAGCGUGCGCAGGCGGUUAUGUAAGACAGUUGUGAAAUCCCCGGGCUCAACCUGGGAACUGCAUCUGUGACUGCAUAGCUAGAGUACGGUAGAGGGGGAUGGAAUUCCGCGUGUAGCAGUGAAAUGCGUAGAUAUGCGGAGGAACACCGAUGGCGAAGGCAAUCCCCUGGACCUGUACUGACGCUCAUGCA